GCACCGGUAGUUUAGUGGUAGAAUCUCGGCCUUCCAAGCCGAUGACCCGGGUUCGAAUCCCGGCCGGUGCA
rnacentral:tRNA from 1 species